rnacentral:tRNA from 1 species
GCGGCAUUAGCUCAGUGGUAGAGCCCCGGCUUCGCAUGCGGGGAGACCUGGAUUCAAUUCCCGGCUGCUUCC